rnacentral:tRNA from 1 species
AGCAGUGUAGCCUAGUGGUAAGGAGCAGGGCUUGUAACUGAAAGGUUGCAGGUUCGAUUCCCUGCUGUGGUGCUG